UACGAAGGGGGCUAGCGUUGCUCGGAAUCACUGGGCGUAAAGCGCACGUAGGCGGAUUGUUAAGUCAGGGGUGAAAUCCUGGAGCUCAACUCCCAGAACUGCCUUUGAUACUGGCGAUCUCGAGUCCGGGAGAGGUGAGUGGAACUGCGAGUGUAGAGGUGAAAUUCGUAGAUAUCGCAAGAACACCAGUGGCGAAGGCGGCUCACUGGCCCGGUACUGACGCUGAGGUGCGAAGGCCGGGGAGCAAAGCGGG
rnacentral:rRNA from 1 species